rnacentral:rRNA from 1 species
GUCUACGGCCAUGCCACCCUGAACGUGUCCGAUCCCGUCUCAUCUCGGAAGCUAAGCAGGGUCGGGCCUGGUUAGUGCCUGGAUGGGAUGGGAGACUACCCAGGAAUACCAGGAGCUGUAGGCA